AAUCACUGGCCUGGGGUUAAGCCUGUCUUGAAAACAGGUUUUAAGUGUUCGAGUCACUUAGUGAUUU
rnacentral:tRNA from 1 species